rnacentral:sRNA from 1 species
ACGGUAUACUAACGCUGCUGCUCCGAUACGGAAUGUUUCCAGAAAAAAGAUUUGUGCAAAAGUGUGUAGAUGGCAGAAGGAAACGAUGAAAGACACAGGUGACAACGGAGCUGGGCAGAGACACCAGGACACCGACAAGCCAGAUGUCUUUCAGGUGGCUAUAAUCAUAAACGAUUUAGGCAAGUAAUAACCAUGAUGAAGAAUAGUCGUAGGAUACUCACGAUAGUUUUCAUAUACCAAGAAAAAUACUCGGUAUUCCUCCAACAAUUUCGAAUUUUGGAUUUAAAACCAAUAUAAGGAAAAUUGAUGAAAGACAUAGAAGUCCUCAACCAGCAAAGAUGGAGGGAGUUAUAGGCUCAGAAGAGGGCACAAUGGAUUUAGUAGAAGGAAGAAACCGCAACUUAAAUAUUAGUUCCGUUAUAUUGUAAUAUUUGAAAUUUAGAUUCCGAUUCCGAUUCUGAAUUUAAAUUGAAAUGCAAAUCCUAUUUAAAAUGCUGCCCCCGAAUCUGGAAACAGUUAAUUAAUGUGAGACGCAUGACUGAAACCACAAAAAUUAUCAUAAGCAAACCUGCUGAAAUUGCUAAUUCAGAUAUUAACGAAUUCAUUAAAAAUAAAACAUUCAAAGGGA